GCCAGGCGUGGUGGCGCGCACCUGUAGUCCCAGUUACUAGGGAGGCUGAGGCAGGAGAAUCGCUCGAACCCGGGAGGCAGAGGUUGCAGUGAGCCAAGACCAUGCCACUGCACUCCAGCCUGGGCGACAGAGCGAGACUCUGUCUCAA
rnacentral:SRP_RNA from 1 species